GCCUGUAUAGCAUAGUGGACAUUGCGUUCUCCGGCACUGAGAAAGGUCGGCGGUUCGAUCCCCCCUGCAGGCG